rnacentral:rRNA from 1 species
AGUGAACGCUGGCGGUAGGCCUAACACAUGCAAGUCGAACGGCAGCACAGUAAGAGCUUGCUCUUACGGGUGGCGAGUGGCGGAUGGGUGAGGAAUACAUCGGAAUCUACUUUUUCGUGGGGGAUAACGUAGGGAAACUUACGCUAAUACCGCAUACGACCUACGGGUGAAAGCAGGGGAUCUUCGGACCUUUCGCGAUUGAUUGAGCCGAUGUCGGAUUAGCUAGUUGGCGGGGUAAAGGCCCACCAAGGCGACGAUCCGUAGCUGGUCUGAGAGGAUGAUCAGCCACACUGGAACGGAGACACGGUCCAGACUCCUACGGGAGGCAGCAGUGGGGAAUAUUGGACAAUGGGCGCAAGCCUGAUCCAGCCAUACCGCGUGGGUGAAGAAGGCCUUCGGGUUGUAAAGCCCUUUUGUUGGGAAAGAAAAGCAGCAGGUUAAUACCCCGCUGUUCUGACGGUACCCAAAGAAUAAGCACCGGCUAACUUCGUG